CACUGUACUUUAACCGACCAGAGACCUCAAGUGUCAACAGUGAGUAGUUAUGGCUUGUCAAGAUGCUGUUAUACGACGAUCAGUAGACGACAUUAAAUGAGAUCAUUCACAUCCAUUAUGGAGUCUCCAGAAAGACUGAAAAUUUGGCUGAGAAACAGCAGUCAUGUGAAGAAGCUGGACUUAUAACAUACGCAGCCGCAGCCAGCAACACCUCCUCCUCCGCCGCUGCCUGGCGGC
rnacentral:misc_RNA from 1 species